rnacentral:rRNA from 1 species
ACUCCUACGGGAGGCAGCAGUGGGGAAUAUUGCACAAUGGGCGCAAGCCUGAUGCAGCCAUGCCGCGUGUGUGAAGAAGGCCUUCGGGUUGUAAAGUAGCUUUACAGCAGAUGAGGAAGGUGGAUGCGUUAAUAGCGUAUUCAUUUGACGUUAGCUGCAGAAGAAGCACCGGCUAACUCCGUGCCAGCAGCCGCGGUAAUACGGAGGGUGCGAGCGUUAAUCGGAAUUACUGGGCGUAAAGCGCAUGCAGGUGGUUUGUUAAGUCAGAUGUGAAAGCCCGGGGCUCAACCUCGGAAUAGCAGUUUGAAACUGGCAGACUAGAGUACUGUAGAGGGGGUAGAAGUUUCAGGUGUAGCGGUGAAAUGCGUAGAGAUCUGAAGGAAUACCGGUGGCGAAGGCGGCCCCUGAGCAGAUACUGACACUCAGAUGCGAAAGCGUGGGGAGCAAACAGGGAUUAGAUACCCUGGUAGGCUCU